UUCUGCAUUUAAUUGUUAAAAUUCUUCCUGUCAGGAAGGAGCUGGUUUCUUGCAAAAGUACAAAGCUCCCUCAUUCGAAUGUAGGUAACAAAAAUAAUGUCAUAUUCUAAACUUGGGAAAAGUCUUGCAUAUUUUUAUUGUUCCUCUUACAAAUUUGUACGUGUAGGUUAGGGUUAG